rnacentral:rRNA from 1 species
ACUCCUACGGGAGGCAGCAGUGGGGAAUAUUGCACAAUGGGCGCAAGCCUGAUGCAGCCAUGCCGCGUGUAUGAAGAAGGCCUUCGGGUUGUAAAGUACUUUCAGCAGUGAGGAAGGCGGGGUACGGUUAAUAGCGUGCUUGUUUGACGUUAGCUGCAGAAGAAGCACCGGCUAACUCCGUGCCAGCAGCCGCGGUAAUACGGAGGGUGCGAGCGUUAAUCGGAAUUACUGGGCGUAAAGCGCAUGCAGGUGGUUUGUUAAGUCAGAUGUGAAAGCCCGGGGCUCAACCUCGGAAUUGCAUUUGAAACUGGCAGACUAGAGUACUGUAGAGGGGGGUAGAAUUUCAGGUGUAGCGGUGAAAUGCGUAGAGAUCUGAAGGAUACCGGUGGCGAAGGCGGCCCCCUGGACAGAUACUGACACUCAGAUGCGAAAGCGUGGGGAGCAAACAGGAUUAGAUACCCUGGUAGGAUAGCG